GGGCAGCUUACCAUGCAAGUCGAGCGGUAACAGGGGGUGCUUGCACCCCGCUGACGAGCGGCGGACGGGUGAGUAAUGCAUAGGAAUCUGCCCAGUAGUGGGGGAUAGCCCGGGGAAACCCGGAUUAAUACCGCAUACGCCCUUUGGGGGAAAGCAGGGGAUCUUCGGACCUUGCGCUAUUGGAUGAGCCUAUGUCGGAUUAGCUAGUUGGUGGGGUAAAGGCCUACCAAGGCGACGAUCCGUAGCUGGUCUGAGAGGAUGAUCAGCCACAUCGGGACUGAGACACGGCCCGAACUCCUACGGGAGGCAGCAGUGGGGAAUAUUGGACAAUGGGGGCAACCCUGAUCCAGCCAUGCCGCGUGUGUGAAGAAGGCUUUCGGGUUGUAAAGCACUUUCAGUGAGGAGGAAAACCUUCUGGUUAAUACCCAUGAGGCUUGACGUUACUCACAGAAGAAGCACCGGCUAACUCCGUGCCAGCAGCCGCGGUAAUACGGAGGGUGCAAGCGUUAAUCGGAAUUACUGGGCGUAAAGCGCGCGUAGGUGGUUUGAUAAGCGAGAUGUGAAAGCCCCGGGCUUAACCUGGGAACGGCAUUUCGAACUGUCAGGCUAG
rnacentral:rRNA from 1 species